AGUGAUAAACUGGAGGAAGGUGGGGAUGACGUCAAGUCAUCAUGGCCCUUACGACCAGGGCUACACACGUGCUACAAUGGCGCAUACAAAGAGAAGCGACCUCGCGAGAGCAAGCGGACCUCAUAAAGUGCGUCGUAGUCCGGAUUGGAGUCUGCAACUCGACUCCAUGAAGUCGGAAUCGCUAGUAAUCGUGGAUCAGAAUGCCACGGUGAAUACGUUCCCGGGCCUUGUACACACCGCCCGUCACACCAUGGGAGUGGGUUGCAAAAGAAGUAGGUAGCUUAACCUUCGGGAGGGCGCUUACCACUUUGUGAUUCAUGACUGGGGUGAAGUCGUAACAAGGUAACCGUAGGGGAACCUGC
rnacentral:rRNA from 2 species